rnacentral:misc_RNA from 1 species
UAGAAGAAAAAUCUUUGAAUAAGGAUAUGCGUUCUUUUCAGACGACCAUAAUGAGUUGUGGACUAACGUUAUUAGGUUUUUCUUUAAUUUCGAUAUGCAUGUUCCCUGUUCAUGCAACCUUGCACUCUCUGCGUCACAGAUGUUUUUCUUUUAGUCAUUUGAUUUGUCUUUCCAUAUUGGUCAUGGUGGUAGUAGUCUAAUUGUGGAGGAAAAUGGAAGUUCACAUUUGCCCUGUGAUGUUUGUAAUUUUAUUAUAUAAACUAAAAAGCAAAUUAUGAAUGUAUAUAUGGAGUAGUAGGAUAGGGCUUAUCCGAUAUUUCAUUAUGGAAUUUGGAUUUUGGGAGAGGUUGGAUUCGGGAAUGUUGACUUGUUCACCAUCCCCUCUUGGUAUAGUGUUUAGGUCAUUGUCCUAGACUUUUGAGUCUUUUCCUCUCUUGAUCCCCUAAAUUUGUAGGGUAAUGGAUUAGCAAUAUCUGUAUAUCUUCAUUGAUUUCCACCUUUCUGAUAUUUUGCCCCCUUUUCAGGUGACUAUAUUUCCACGCUUCCUCUCCUGCUUCCACUAAAAUAUCUCAUAUGCUGGCCCUUCUUUUGUUUUUAUUCCAUUCCAUCCCUUCUCUUAAAGAAAACCCUAGUAUUUUUUGUUAGUAAGGAGAUCAAGAGAGUGGGUAUCCGAGUCUUUCAGUCACUAGAUUAAGUAAGGUUAAGGUUAGGCAAGAAAACCCUUUUAUACAUAUGUAUAAUUAACAAAUUAUAAUUGUAUUUUUUGUUUGUAAAGAGAUCGAGAGAGUGAGAUCCGAACCCAAAUCUAUUAAGUGAGCUAUUUAAUCACUAAAUUAUUAUGAUUAAGAUAAGAAAAUCUAGUUUAUUGUUGUACUUAAUUUAAUUAAGUAAUACUAUUAGCAG